rnacentral:rRNA from 1 species
AGAGUUUGAUCCUGGCUCAGGACGAACGCUGGCGGCGUGCUUAACACAUGCAAGUCGAACGGAAAGGUCUCUUCGGAGAUACUCGAGUGGCGAACGGGUGAGUAACACGUGGGUGAUCUGCCCUGCACUUUGGGAUAAGCCUGGGAAACUGGGUCUAAUACCGGAUAGGACCGCGCCAUGCAUGUGGUGUGGUGGAAAGCUAUUUGCGGUGUGGGAUGGGCCCGCGGCCUAUCAGCUUGUUGGUGGGGUGAUGGCCUACCAAGGCGACGACGGGUAGCCGGCCUGAGAGGGUGUCCGGCCACACUGGGACUGAGAUACGGCCCAGACUCCUACGGGAGGCAGCAGUGGGGAAUAUUGCACAAUGGGCGCAAGCCUGAUGCAGCGACGCCGCGUGGGGGAUGACGGCCUUCGGGUUGUAAACCUCUUUCACCAUCGGCGA